rnacentral:SRP_RNA from 1 species
AGGAGUGGGCAAACCUCCUUAAUCCACCGAACCCCGUCAGGCCCGGAAGGGAGCAGCGGUAGGUGGGACGCUAACGCUCACAGGGUAGCGGAAUCGAGUAGAACUUGG